GCAGCUGGAAAGCAGACAGGCCGGCUUCCGGGAUUUGGAGGGUUCUUUGUCUCUUCCUGCAGUCAGAGUUCGGGUUCUCGUCUUCGCUGCCUCUGUGUCCUCUGCUGCUCCGUGUCCUCCGCUCCUGGAGGUGUGGUCCUGUGACCUUCAGGUAUUGAGGAUCCACAGCUGAGACGCCAGCAGCCGCUGGAAACCUCUAAAUGGGACCAUUGACUUUUAUGGAUGUGGCCAUAGAAUUCUCUCUGGAAGAGUGGCAAUGCCUGGACACUGCACAACAGAAUUUAUACAGAGACGUGAUGCUAGAGAACUACAGAAACCUGGUCUUCCUCAGUGAGAAUAACUUCAAUAUGCAAUUCAUAAUAUACCCUAAAGUUUUUAUUUUAUUUUAUUUGUAAAAUGUUUUUGGUAAUUUUUGCUUUGUAUAGAUUAGUUUAAGAUCCCAGUUUUGAAAAAAGUUUGGAAAUUUGUGUAGAAAGGAAUAUCUUUAAGA